AAUUAGAAUUUGUGGCAAUUUAGGAACAUGCCAUCCUUUGAUCUGCUUUGGCAUUUCGAGUGCUUUCUGAUUGAUCUAAUGGGUGAAUGGAUUUGUGAGCUCUGUACUUCCUUAAAAAAGGGUGUUAUUUCCCUGAAAAAUUUGGGUUCAUUUUGAUGGUAAAAUCUCUACAGCAUCGACGCUUCUGGAAUUAGGAGUAAGAGAGAUGUGCUUUCUGUAAUGGGUGAAUGGAUUUGUGGGCUCUGUAACUCCUUAAAAAAGGUUAAGGGAAAAGUAGACAAUGAAGAGGUCCUGCAAGUGGAUAUACCCUAAGAGGCUUUGGGAGAUGUCAACACUGUAUAGCUAGUGGAGUAGAGCCAUCUGAUGUUGAGCAUUAUGGACGUGGAGUUGAGGUUCACGGUGUUGCUCAAUGGUAAGCUUGUUUUUAGCAUUUUUCCAUUUGUGGAGACUAUUUUUCCCCCACUCAAUGUAUUGUGCGCUAAGUACCGCCUGGGCGUGCCUCACACAGUAUCUAUUUCGGGAUAAUAUCUCGCCUCCCCACUCCUCAUUACCGGAAUUUUAAUACUACUGCUGUAGCCCACACCAUUAUCAAAGUUGGGUUUGUGUAGUGUGUCUUGUCAUGCAAAUUAUUAUUCAUUAUAGUUUACAGUUUAAA